ensembl:lncRNA
AAUUAGUUCUUCCUUACUCUUGCAAAGGAUUUUUCCUUUUCAGCACUGGGUAUCGAAGCUAGAGCCUUUAGCAUGCUGGACAAGCACUCUACCAUUGAGCCAUAACCUAGGCCCUUUUAUUUUUCUUUUUUGUUGUUGUUGUUGUUUUUGUCCUUUUAUUUUUCUUAUUUUGAGACAGAGUCUGGCUAAGUUACCCAGGUUAGCCUCAAACUUGUGAUCCACAAGGAAUUAAUUUUUAAUGUUAUUCUGCAAAAUUUAAUGAAAACAUCAAAAUACAACAAACCUGAUACCUUACACCUACAGACUACUUCUAAGUAAACUGUGAUCCUAUUUUUCGUAUAUUUAUCCCUCUUUUCAUAUUUUCCUAGUUCAUCUUUUCUUCAAUGUGAACUUCAGGGGCAAUGUUUGAGUUCCUCUCACCAGUUCUGUUCCUGUUCUCCUCAUUUUCUGACCAUGGACUUCACCAAGCUGAACCAAAGCUAUGCUCUGACUCUCCAGGGAGCUGAGCAGACUCAAAUCUUCAACCUUGAGAGUGAGUGUGACUGUCCUUAGGAAGAAACUGCAAAAUUGAAAGCCUCAACUGACCAUCCUAAAAAAGCAAGUAAGCCUCCAGAGGGUGGACACAGAUUACUCUUCACUUGACCAUUAGUCCUGUGGAAAGUGCACUAGGGGGCACCGCCCCUCAAAUGCCCCAGAAAGGUGGAGAGCCUGAGAAAAAUCUUAGAAAACAAGGUGGAUUUCACAUUUUCCUUCAUGUUCCAAUCACAUGUGUUUUGACAAGAUAUCAGGAACUAAUGUUCCCAUAUCAGAUGAUUCAAACAUAAGAACAAGUGCAAUGCCAUGGACUUGAAACAGGAAGAGGAUCCUCCAGCAAACAUAGAACACUGUUUCCCACAGUGAGCUGUGAGAAAUGUUAGUCCAGGGAACCAUUUUCAAGGAAAUGCCUUGCAACCAUUACUAUUUUCUUGGAAAUUCCUAAUGUCAAAGGCAACGAGAAGUCCCAUAGUAAAGCAACCUGACUACCCCAGCACUUCUCUUCCUAAUUGGAUCCUAGGCCCACUCUCCCCUUUUAUAAAGAAUACAUAUUAAUAUCUCACAACACUUAUUUCAGAAAACAUUGAACUAGACCAGUGCUGAAUCAAAGGAACUUCCCACACACAAGGUGUGUGGUCAUUCUGAGUGUAUCAUCCAUCCAGAAAGAAUUUGGAGAGAAAUCUCAGGCUGAAUAGAUCCUGAAAGCUUCCAUGCUUCCUCAUCAGGCAUCAUGUGCACUGCAUCCACUCCAGCCUGCUUAGCAGGCCCCGGGGCUGGCCUUGAAUGCUAGCCCUGUACCCCCACGCAGGUCUCAGGCUUUUUACCUUCCAGUGCACACAAAUACCAGCCAAGGGAAGAAAUUAAAAAUUGGGGCAACUGCCACAUUUCAAAUAUUCCCUCUCCAGUAACCUAAGAAAAAAAUCAAUGACUGUGUCUGUGAGAGACUGUUAAAGUUUGGCUUGUUGGCCGUGGUGGGCAGUCAGUAACUGUAACUGCCCUUCAGGGCCACACCAAGUGGAAAUUUCACCAAGUUGGGUUUUUAGGAACCCUAUCAGCAAUCCCAGGAUCGGGUCUUAUAUCUAACAAAUUAUAUUUUACAUUUUUUAAGAGCAAGUUACUGACAACUAGGCUGAUCCCUCUGCAAUUAGAAUCUGAUGUCAGAGUGAGAAAAUCCUCUGCUAACUGGGAACUCCCAUGUCACUCAUUCUGUAUUAAUGAUAUUUAUUCUCUAUCGUUGUUCCAUUCUGAAAAAAAUGGGUCCCCUGGUUCCAAUGUUAUGUUAAGCAUAUUACAUGUUACUCCAAAGUCAGUUCAUAUAUUACAGCUCGUUACACUCCUGGGUAUACAUUUCUGAAUAGCUCUCACUCCACAGUUACAGCUCCACGUUAAAUAUGGGCUGCCAUGAGUGCAGCCUCAGAGAGUUGUCUGUUCUAUUCCCGGCUUCUUGUUUUCCCUUGGAGUUUUCCCCCCUUCUGCUGCAUACUUCUUAGGGAAGAUGUGCCCUGCAGUAAGAAAAGUCUACCUGGGGAAGGUGAAAAGUGUUUCUCUAGAGUUCUCUGGAAGGGAGGUUAGCAGUGGCAGCUGUUUGCAUGCAUGUAGCUUUCUGUGGGGACCAGCUACAACUCGGUAUGUGAGUGGGAGGCUAGUGGUGGGUGCCGGGAACUAUCUGUACCAUUGACAAAAAGCCACAGUAUUUUUCCUCUGGCAGUAUUAACGUUAGAAUGAGUUUUUGUCCUCUACAGCCAUGAAGUUUGCACUGCCUUGGCUAGCACAUUCCUGAGCCUCUGUGUCAUACCAUCAAGAGACAGUUUUGGGAAUUUCACAGGAUAUCAUCUUUUUAGUCACUUUAGUGGAGCCUACCAUGACAACACAUUUUUAUUUCCAUUUGCUGCAGAGUCCAAGCUCUUAACAAGCCACCAGCUUCUUUCUUUGCUUCAUUCAUUCAACAUACACUAUGAAAAGGGUUAUGUGAGGCUCAGGAAUACAACAAUGAACCAGGAAACUCCAAAGUGCUCAACAUGUGAGGUCUGUGGUCUUGGGCACAGUUCUCACAAAGCUCGUGCCAGUGACCCACCUGUCUGGUGUGGCUCUUCUGAGCCAUAAACAGGCAAAACAGAUGGCCUGCAUGGCAUACUCAAGGUGGCAUAUGCAGUGAUUCUCCUGGGCCCCAAAGGCUCUCAAAAGGUGGACAAGUCAAGUGCCACUUUUCUUCUGUGCAUCUUUGGCUGGUUCUGAUUUCCUCCUUACACUUUCAAUUAUCUGAGCCAUUGCCCAACACAGUGUGAUGAGCCCCAGGCACCUCUCUUUUUCAAGAUAAGGGGAGAUCUUCAGACAAAAAGUGACUGAAAUGGGACCAGGACACAGAGCCCCUGGAGCCCUGUGCUGUCUCCCUUGGCUACAAAGCUGAAUGCUUGAGGCUCUUGACAAAUGAGAAUCAGAUUGUAUCCAAAAUACAUCUCAACCUCUUGGGGCUGUCUGUAGCCAUAUAAGGAACUGGUUAGGAGCUAUUUAUCAGAGAGUUUCUUGAGGGCAGAGAGAACCUGCAGGGCACUUCGAUUAGCUGAGCAGCCCCAGCUCUGAUGUGCCUGCAGCUGUCACCAUGAGAAGGUAUCAGCGAUUCGAAAGGCACCACGGCUGCAAUUUCCUAUGCAAGAGCUGCAGUGGAUCCAUUUUUCUAUCCCCAACUCCUUUGAACAUCUUUGCCAAUAUUUGUUUAGAGUCUUGCAUUUUGGAAAAUAUCAGAGUCCAAACAUAGAAAAACUAUUGACAUGUAGGUGUUUUAAUGAAAGCGUCAAAUAUGACUGCCUGAUGAUCAUGGCACCUCAGCCAAAAGUGAAUCAAAAAGGUCAUGUAGGGAAUCCACCUGCUUUUCCUACAUGAUCCAAAUAAGAACAGAGAAUCUGAGUCAUGACACCUGUUCCAGGCCAUAAUUCCUGUGCCUUUCUCACCUGUAAUUGUAUCCACAGACAACUCCAAACCCAAGGGGCUCUACAUAUAGCUCCCUCCCAUAGCAAGUCCUCUAGUUUCCUUUUGAGUCUCAGCAGGAAGCAUUUUCCUACGUGUAGAUUUUCAGGACUCAUGUACAUUUGCCUUAAAAAAUAUCUCUAGAUGUCUUUUUGUUCUGAAAGCUGUAAUGAUGUACUUAAAAAACACACUGAAUUUUUGAAAACCAAAAGCUCCACUUAUCCCACAGCCAGUUUUCUGCCAUACAGAAGACAACUAAACUAAGGUUGGCAGUAUUUAUUUCAACUUUAUCUCUCCAAGCUGCUCAUACACCUCUCUUAUGAAAGGUGUGAAUACUGAAAUCAGACUUGAUUUCCUCUGUCAUGUGUAAGAAGCUUUCUCAAAACUUCUCCCUGUGACAGUCCUCAGAACUUUACAUUUUACUAUUCUUCUGUAUUAUUCCUACCAGAUUAUGAACUUAUUUAUCUUUGCAUUUUCAAAGUUUAGUACAAUAUUUAUGUUACUGGUGGUCAGCAAACAUUGAGUAGAAGGGAAGAGGGAGGAAGAAGGAAGAGGGAAGUAUUCAGAAUCCUAAAGUGUUUCCUCCCAGGCCGACUCAGGUGAUACCUGGAGCCCCUGGGUUACAUGGCUGAACCUUUUACACAGUGUAGUUUGGUAGAUUGAAUUGAAAAUGUUUCAUCAGGCAUGUCUGGAGCCAGUUUAAAGUAGUUACUUCUUGAAAAUUCUCUCCAAGUAUGAGUGGGAAAAAAAUCAAGACUAAUUUGAGAAUCCUGGGAAAUCUCAACUCCUUCACUAUUUCCCCUAUACUUCAUCCAUAAGCAUAUCCUACUGUAAAUCAAAGACUUCUGGAACCAGGAGACAAAUAAGUAGUCUAGAAGGCUGACAACAAGCUAUUCCCCCCAAAUAAGAAAACAAUUCUAAAUACAGUAGCAUCAAAAAUAGUAAAACACUUGAAAAUAAACUUACCCAAGGAGGUAAAAGAUAUAUACACUGAAAACUAGGAAAAAAAAUGAUGAAAGAAAUUUAAGAAAACAAAAAUAAAGGAAAGACAUCCUAUGUUCAUGAAUUAGGAGACUCAAUAUUAUUAAGAUGUCUAUGCUACCCAAUAUAAUCUACAAAUUCAUGUAAUCUCUAUCAAAAUCCUAAUGGCAUUUUUAUGUAAGUAGAAAAUAUAAUCCUAAAACUCAUAUAAAACUACAAAGGACUCCAAAUAAUCAAAACAAUCUUGAGAAUGUAUAAUACUGACAUAAAGACAGACACAAUAAAGCAAGCGAACAGAAUAGAGAUGCAGAAAUAUAACUAUAAAUACACAAAUGGUUAGCUAAUCUUCUACAAGGAUGCUAAGUAAACACAAUAGGGAAAGGAUAAUUUCCUCAACAAAUGUUAUUGGAAAACAGGGUAUCUAUAAGUAAAGGAUUGAAAUUGGAUCAUUUCCUUGUAUCAUAUAUUCUAAAAUUAUCUCAAAGUGAAUUAAAGACUUAGAAUUAUAAAAAUCCUAGAAGAAAACAUGUGAGAAAACCUUAUGAUAUUGGACUUUACAAUGAUUUAUUGGAUAGGACUCCAAAAGAAUAAGCAGAAAUAAACAAGGACGACUACACCAAAUGGAAAGGCUUCUGUAUAACAAAGGAAAUGACAGAAUGAAAAGAAAACCCAUAGAAUGGGGAAAAUAUGUGCAAACCAUAUAUCUGAUAAGGGAUUCAUAUCUAAAAUAUAUAAGGAACAUCUACAACUUAAUAGCACACCACCAAAAGAUCUAAUUAAGAAUUGAAAAGACGUGAAUAGAGCGUUUCUCCUAAGAAGACAUACAAAUUCCCAACUAAUGGUACAUCACUAAUCAUCAGGUUAGUACAACUCAAACCACAAUGAGAGAUCGUCACAUACCUGUGAAGAUAGGCGCUGGAAAAAAACAAGUUUUGAUGUGGGUAUGAAAAAAUUUAGAACUUAUACACUGUUGGUGGGAAUGUAAUAUUGUGUAGCCACUAGAAAAAGUUUGGAAGAGGUUAUUCAAAAAUUAAAAAUAGAAUUAUGUAUAUAUAUAUUAUAUGGUGGGAGAUAUAUAUAUGUCCUUUCUGUAUAUCAAUUGAAACCAGGAUCGGGCCGGGAUUUAGCUCAGUGGCUCCACCGCCAUCCUCGAAAGCGCUAGGUCCCGAGUUCGAUCCCCGUACCAAAAAUAAAGAAAGAAAGAAAGAAACCAGGAUCUCCUGAGCUGCAGAGUACACUGAACUCAUGUGGGGAACAUACAGAAAUGAUUGCUCCCCCUAACACAUUCUAAUUUAAUUGGUAAGGACUAUGACUGGGCAUUGAACUUCUAAUGUUCGGGAUAAUGUGGGAACCUUUGUCAUGGGCUAUUCAAGGCCUUCUCCAGUGCCUAGCACAUAGUACACUCAAUGUACGUCUGUGCUAAGUUUUCUCUCCACAUGCUUUUCUGGCCCAUUGGGCACUUAAUCCUUAAAUUCUUAGGUUGGCAACAAUUCAAAAGCAAACAGAAAUUACUUACCUAGCUAAUACGAGCCCCCAAUUCAUUUCUAAUGAAUUUUCCAAAGCAACAGAAAGGAGUUAGGAAGCACAGGCCAAUGUUAAAUUCUGGCUGGUUUGCCUCCCUCUUGGAGGAGAACAUGCCUCACUGCUCCCUCCCGCUUUUCUGUUUCUUCUCUCCAGCAGCCAUGUGUUGACACGACUUGUUGCUACAAAUUGAUCCCAAGGCAGGGCCUACCUUCUUGGGAAGAAAAGCUGAGGCCCUGAAAGGAAG